GGGGCUGAACUGGUCUCGACCUUGAUCGUACCGAGGUAGGAGAAGCGAGCCGAGGACUCCCGGUGUGACCUCGUUAAUCCUCUGGGAAAAACAUAAAUGCUGCUGCUUAAAGCACAGUAGCCACCCCUUUGCGGUGGCCGUCGGCCUGAGAUGAGCCUGCGAUCUCAGGAUCCGGCGUCGCCUAGCAGGCUUACCGUCCGGAGUUCGCCCGUGGCGAAGGACGGGACAUCUAACAGGGGCUAGGGACCCACCGCCGCCGUUCGCGGGCCGGUAGGUCCCGAAUCUCAACCGCGAACUACGCUCGUAGAAGGCCUACCGAGGGAUCGGGGGACCCGGGUUCGAUUCCCGGCAGCUCCACAA
rnacentral:tmRNA from 1 species